rnacentral:rRNA from 1 species
UCCUGUCUGAAUAUGGGGGGACCAUCCUCCAAGGCUAAAUACUCCUGACUGACCGAUAGUGAACCAGUACCGUGAGGGAAAGGCGAAAAGAACCCCGGCGAGGGGAGUGAAAAAGAACCUGAAACCGUGUACGUACAAGCAGUGGGAGCCUCUUAAUGAGGUGACUGCGUACCUUUUGUAUAAUGGGUCAGCGACUUAUAUUCUGUAGCAAGGUUAACCGAAUAGGGGAGCCGAAGGGAAACCGAGUCUUAACUGGGCGUUAAGUUGCAGGGUAUAGACCCGAAACCCGGUGAUCUAGCCAUGGGCAGGUUGAAGGUUGGGUAACACUAACUGGAGGACCGAACCGACUAAUGUUGAAAAAUUAGCGGAUGACUUGUGGCUGGGGGUGAAAGGCCAAUCAAACCGGGAGAUAGCUGGUUCUCCCCGAAAGCUAUUUAGGUAGCGCCUCGUGAAUUCAUCUCCGGGGGUAGAGCACUGUUUCGGCAAGGGGGUCAUCCCGACUUACCAACCCGAUGCAAACUGCGAAUACCGGAGAAUGUUAUCACGGGAGACACACGGCGGGUGCUAACGUCCGUCGUGAAGAGGGAAACAACCCAGACCGCCAGCUAAGGUCCCAAAGUCAUGGUUAAGUGGGAAACGAUGUGGGAAGGCCCAGACAGCCAGGAUGUUGGCUUAGAAGCAGCCAUCAUUUAAAGAAAGCGUAAUAGCUCACUGGUCGAGUCGGCCUGCGCGGAAGAUGUAACGGGGCUAAACCAUGCACCGAAGCUGCGGCAGCGACACUAUGUGUUGUUGGGUAGGGGAGCGUUCUGUAAGCCUGUGAAGGUGGCCUGUGAGGGUUGCUGGAGGUAUCAGAAGUGCGAAUGCUGACAUAAGUAACGAUAAAGCGGGUGAAAAGCCCGCUCGCCGGAAGACCAAGGGUUCCUGUCCAACGUUAAUCGGGGCAGGGUGAGUCGACCCCUAAGGCGAGGCCGAAAGGCGUAGUCGAUGGGAAACAGGUUAAUAUUCCUGUACUUGGUGUUACUGCGAAGGGGGGACGGAGAAGGCUAUGUUGGCCGGGCGACGGUUGUCCCGGUUUAAGCGUGUAGGCUGGUUUUCCAGGCAAAUCCGGAAAACCAAGGCUGAGGCGUGAUGACGAGGCACUACGGUGCUGAAGCGACAAAUGCCCUGCUUCCAGGAAAAGCCUCUAAGCAUCAGGUAACAUCAAAUCGUACCCCAAACCGACACAGGUGGUCAGGUAGAGAAUACCAAGGCGCUUGAGAGAACUCGGGUGAAGGAACUAGGCAAAAUGGUGCCGUAACUUCGGGAGAAGGCACGCUGAUAUGUAGGUGAAGCGACUUGCUCGUGGAGCUGAAAUCAGUCGAAGAUACCAGCUGGCUGCAACUGUUUAUUAAAAACACAGCACUGUGCAAACACGAAAGUGGACGUAUACGGUGUGACGCCUGCCCGGUGCCGGAAGGUUAAUUGAUGGGGUUAGCGGUAACGCGAAGCUCUUGAUCGAAGCCCCGGUAAACGGCGGCCGUAACUAUAACGGUCCUAAGGUAGCGAAAUUCCUUGUCGGGUAAGUUCCGACCUGCACGAAUGGCGUAAUGAUGGCCAGGCUGUCUCCACCCGAGACUCAGUGAAAUUGAACUCGCUGUGAAGAUGCAGUGUACCCGCGGCAAGACGGAAAGACCCCGUGAACCUUUACUAUAGCUUGACACUGAACAUUGAGCCUUGAUGUGUAGGAUAGGUGGGAGGCUUUGAAGUGUGGACGCCAGUCUGCAUGGAGCCGACCUUGAAAUACCACCCUUUAAUGUUUGAUGUUCUAACGUUGGCCCCUAAUC